rnacentral:rRNA from 1 species
AUACGUAGGUGACAAGCGUUAUCCGGAUUUACUGGGCGUAAAGGGCGUGUAGGCGGUCUUGCAAGUCAGAAGUGAAAUUCCUGAGCUCAACUCGGGCGCUGCUUCUGAAACUGCAGGACUUGAGUGCUGGAGGGGAUAGCGGAAUUCCUAGUGGAGCGGUAAAAUGCGCAGAUAUUAGGAAGAACACCGGUGGCGAAGGCGGGUAUCUGGACAGUAACUGACGCUGAGGCGCGAAAGCGUGGGGAGCAAACAGGAUUAGAUCCCCUGGUAGUCCACGCCGUAAACGAUGAAUACUAGGUGUAGGGGGUAUCGACUCCCUCUGUGCCGCAGUUAACACAAUAAGUAUUCCGCCUGGGGAGUACGGCCGCAAGGUUGAAACUCAAAUGAAUUGACGGGG